GAGGAGGAGGAAGAGGAAGAAGAGGAGAAAGAAAAAAAGAAAGAGAUAUUCGAUCGUUGUUGUUGAUGUUGUUGUUGUUGUUAUUGCAAAACGAGAAAGUGUGGAAAAUCGAUUGAGGGCAACGUACUUAUCAGUUAAGUGCAGUUAAAUGCAUAUAUUUCUCUCUCGCCGAUCUCCUGGAUAAAAAACGAACUAAAAAAAACGUAACUAAAGAGAAAAAGAAAAAAAAGAGAAAAAAAGGGGACAAAAAAAAAAAGAAAAAACAAAAAGAAAAAAAGAAAAGAGAGAAAAAGGGGGAAAAGAAAAGAGAAAAAGGAUUAUAUUUAAAAAGGGAAAAAUUGUUUCGUACGUACGUAGCAAGUUUUAUUGCUAAUAACAAUUGAUUUGUGAUGAUCGAAGGGAAAAUAUUAUCGUUUAUAUUUUUGUUGGAAACUCGUUAUUAUGUGACGGAUAGAAAAUUAAAGGAAUAUGUUAAAUUACGAUCAGAGAAAUGGGAAAAUAUAAAAGAUUGAACGAAACAAAACGAGAAAUAUAAAUAAAUAAAUGAAUAAUUGAAUAAAUAAAUAAAUAAAUAAAUAAAUAAAUGGAUGAAUGAAUGAGUGAAUAAAUAAAUAACGAUGAAAGCUCGAGCCUUUUUUUUUCGAGCUUAGCCGACAAAUAAAAUAAAAACAUUGAAAGAAAAAAAGGAUACGAAACAAAUGUAAUUGAUUGAAACUCGUUUCAUUCGGGAAUGUAUAUGUGUAUAUGGAAAAAUUUGGAAAUAAUUGAUCGAUAUUUUGUUUUCACUUCUUUUCUUUUCUUGUUUUUCGUUUUUGUUUCUUUUUCUCUCUCUCUCUCUCUCUCCCUCCCUCUCUCUCUCCCCCUCUCUCUCUCUUCUUCUCUUUUACAUUUUCAUCGAGAAUUGUAAGCUUUUCUCGAUGAUGAUAUUCCUGCAAUUAGCGAUUAGCUUCGAGAACGAGCUUUAUUGUCGGAAUGGAGAAAAGCGAGAAAUCCAUUUUUCUUUCUUUUUCAAUUUUUUUUUUUUUUUCUUUUGACGUUCCUUCGACUUCCGGCGAAUUGUCACUUUCUCGUAUUUCACGUUGCUUCUUUCUUUUUUCUUUUUUUUGUUGUUGUUUAUUUUAAAAACAUGACAAAGCGAGAGAGAAAGAGAGAGAAAGGGAAAGAGAUGUGCAUAUAUAUAUAUAUAUAUAUAUAUAUAUAUAUAUAUAUAUGUAUAUACACACACACGCAUACACGCAGAGACAGCAGACUUAACAAACGUUGCGAUUUGGCUUACGUAUCCGCGCUUUUCGCUUUCUGAUCUCCGAACGAUGGAGGAAAGAGGGAGAGAGACAAAUAGAUAGACGGAGGUAGAGUGAGAGUGAGAUAGAGUGAGGGUGAGAGAGAGAGAGAGAAGAGGAGAGGAAAAAAACCAUGAAAAAUCUCGGAUGAUCAUUGACGUAGAAGAAAGAUCAUUCAUGUUCCCUUUUCCUUAUUUUUUACUAAACGUAUACUCGACGUACUCCGAAUUCUGUGUCCCUCUUUCUUCCGAAGUGAUUAUGUUCUUUUCUGUUUUUUUUUUCUUUUUUGUAAUUUAUUUCGAACGCCGUUCACGCAAAAUCGCAAGAUAUUGUGAUAAUGAUGAUGAUUGGCCAAUUAUAAAGAAGAACAGAUUCGAACGAACACAAUGAUGUAAACGAGACCAAAUUCGUUCGCGAUUAGCUUCGUUUUAUUCCGAGAGAGAAAGGGAGAGAGAGAGAAAGAGAGAGAGAGAGAGAGAGAGAGAGAGAGAGUGUGUGUAUCGUCUCUACGUCUUAUCGUCUUAGUGCUUUAGUAGCACUAAUGCUCAGAAUACGUUGUUCGAGAGAGAAGGAAAAGUCAAUAAAACUAUCUUCAAUUUUA